rnacentral:rRNA from 1 species
GUAGGGAAUAUUGGACAAUGGGCGGAAGCCUGAUCCAGCCAUGCCGCGUGUGUGAAGAAGGCCUUUUGGUUGUAAAGCACUUUAAGCGAGGAGGAGGCUCCUUUAGUUAAUACCUAAAGUGAGUGGACGUUACUCGCAGAAUAAGCACCGGCUAACUCUGUGCCAGCAGCCGCGGUAAUACAGAGGGUGCAAGCGUUAAUCGGAUUUACUGGGCGUAAAGCGCGCGUAGGUGGCCAAUUAAGUCAAAUGUGAAAUCCCCGAGCUUAACUUGGGAAUUGCAUUCGAUACUGGUUGGCUAGAGUAUGGGAGAGGAUGGUAGAAUUCCAGGUGUAGCGGUGAAAUGCGUAGAGAUCUGGAGGAAUACCGAUGGCGAAGGCAGCCAUCUGGCCUAAUACUGACACUGAGGUGCGAAAGCAUGGGGAGCAAACAGGAUUAGAUACCCGAGUAGUCC